rfam:Dipodomys ordii contig_89622, whole genome shotgun sequence.
GGGAAUGUGGCUCAGUGGUAGAGUGCUUGCCUAGCAGGCAUGAAGCCUUGGGUUCAAGUCCUUAGUACCA